GACCUCAAAUCAGGUAGGACUACCCGCUGAACUUAAGCAUAUCAAUAAGCGGAGGAAAAGAAACUAACAAGGAUUCCCCUAGUAACUGCGAGUGAAGCGGGAAAAGCUCAAAUUUAAAAUCUGGCGUCUUCGGCGUCCGAGUUGUAUUCUGAAGAAGCGUCUUCCGCGUUGGACCGUGUACAAGUUUCUUGGAACAGAACAUCAUAGAGGGUGAGAAUCCCGUCUUUGACACGGACUACCAGUGCUUUGUGAUGCGCUCUCAAAGAGUCGCGUUGUUUGGGAAUGCAGCGCAAAAUGGGUGGUAUAUUCCAUCUAAAGCUAAAUAAUGGCGAGAGACCGAUAGCGAACAAGUACCGUGAGGGAAAGGUGAAAAGCACUUUGGAAAGAGAGUUAAACAGUACGUGAAAUUGUUGAAAGGGAAACGCUUGAAGUCAG
rnacentral:rRNA from 1 species